rnacentral:rRNA from 1 species
UUUGGUGGCACUGGCAGAGGGGAAACACCCGUUCCCAUUCCGAACACGGAAGUAAAGCCCUCUAGCGCCGAUGGUACUGCAGGGGUGACUCUGUGGGAGAGUAGGUCACUGCCAAGA